AGCACCUGUGUGGGUGUUUGAUAUUUGGACAAAGACUUUGAGACAGAUGCAAAACUAAACCUGCUUUGCAACCCAAAACUCAUUGUUCUAUAUGAAUUCUAAUACAGAUAAAAGAAAUUUU
rnacentral:snoRNA from 1 species